rnacentral:lncRNA from 1 species
CUCAACGAAUGGACAUUCUGAGAUCCACUUCAGAAAUGAUUUGCAAUAAAUAAGCAACAUUUUCUAAACGAUGGAGAGAAACAGCAACAACGAUACAGUUUUAAUCGAUUCCUUAAUUGCGUCUGUUCUGUGCUAUGAAAAGGCUCCUGCAAUGUCUGGCGCGUUUCAAAUAACCAUUUAUAUAAUUACCAAAUAAUAUCGAUAACAAAAAAAUGUUAACGUAAUAGGUCCGCCUAAAGGAUAUACAUUGUGUAAAAUCUUUGUUACUUCUAAUUGGUCGAACGAAAUACCGUUCGUCCACGAGGAGAAGGUUAGGCAACUAUUUACAUCCCCACUCCAAUCGCAAUCCACCAGCAUCCCUAGUAUCGUACGCGUCGUCACUAUUGGCUGAAAUAGUGACGAAGAUCGAUAGCGACCAGUUCGAGAUCGAGUGAAAUCGAACGCUGUCUUCGCAACAUUGUUUUAUUAUUGCUUUUAUUUACAUACGUUUGUUUUAUUCUUUAGAAAUUGCGAAUUACGUUUUACGUCCACGAGGAGGUCGUUGUUACUAGAAGUUAAUAAACGAUGCGAAGGAAUUUAUGUACUAUUUGAUUUCACUAUAACCUUGAAGGAAUUAAUUUGUAUUUAUGUACAUACAUUCGUAUGUUGCGAGAGGUUAUGUCAAUGCUACCAAGAGAUUGUUCGACAUCGCUCCAUCUCAGUUGAUCAGUCGUCGAUCUUUGUCUCCGUGUCAGCCAAUAGUGACAAUGUCCGAAUGGUGGGGAAGCUGUGGGAUUGCAACUAGAGUGUUGUAAACACUCGCUUAGUCUUCACCUCGCGGGCGUACGAUGCAUGUGUAUACCAUUAGAAUCGUCGUAAAUACGCCAUAGGGAUAAAUAAUAGCAUGGAAAAUGGAAAUAACAUUUAACGAUGUGAUAAAAAUGUACAUGUAUCAUGGAAAUCUCUCGCAGUGCCGUGUUGUUGCGAUCUUUGUAAAAUUUUUCUUACGACAUUGAUGUUUUUAGUACGAAUCGAACGCAACUGUCGUUGAUUGACGUGUUUGACUAUGUCCACGGAAAUAAAACAUCCAUACUUUACGAAGAAUAACCGCUAAGAGAGGAAGGAAAGUUUACCGGUAAACAUCGGCUCAAACGCGAAGAAAAACAGUCUCUGAAAGAUGUCUGCGAAUAGGAAGGCGUGGCACCAUGUCGUAAACUGAAAACGGAAAUGAAGUGGGAGGAGCAGGAGGAGGGGGGAAAGGAACACGAUAAAUCGAAAUGUCUUAGCGUUUCAAGCUAUUUUCGUUGUUUACUCUUGCAUAAGCUUUUAUAUAAAAAUGAGUCACGGAUCGGAGUGUCUCUUCGGCGCGCCGAAUUCAAACCACGGUUAUUAUUUAGAGGUUAGGUGAAAGAGAGGAGUGCGUCCGCGAUACCCGUGUAAUUAAUUCAAUUGCGAAUUCUGUUACGGAACAAUAUUGGGUACCAGUUAACGUUUAUUUACGUAACAUAAGAGAAAUGCAUGAUGAUCUGUAAUUAAUUACAGUUCUAUAAUGAGAUUCGUCGGUAAUAGCACUGUA